rnacentral:lncRNA from 1 species
CACUUACAUACCUAAUUGACAUCUUAAAUACAGUAAGUCCAAAAACUACCCCUAACCUGUUCCUUUUAAAAUAACUCAGUUUUUUAUUUCUUUGCUGCCACCUGAAAUAGUUUACCGUUUCGCUGAGUAAAAGCCAACAUGUCAAAAAUGGCCUUAGUUAACUUAUAAGAAAAGGCCUUUGCCACAUAAUCUCUUUAUUUCCUGCCACUGGCCUCCUCACUCAUGUUGGCCCAACCACAUUGACAUUUGUUGCCCCUUGCAGACAUCAGGCAUACCCUCACCUCAGUAUUUUUCUCUUGCUUUUCUCUGCAUGAAAUUCUCUUACCAUAGAGAUCUGCUUGGCUAACAU